rnacentral:tRNA from 1 species
CAUCAGAUGGCUGAAAGUAAGCAGUGGUCUCUUAAACCAUAAAACAGUAUAGUAACGAUCUACUUCUGAUGG